rnacentral:rRNA from 1 species
GAUGAACGCUGGCGGCGUGCCUAAUACAUGCCAGUCGAGCGAACAGACGAGGAGCUUGCUCCUUGGACGUUAGCGGCGGACGGGUGAGUAACGCGUGUAUAACCUACCUAUAAGACGGGGAUAACUUCGGGAAACCGGAGCUAAUACCGGAUAACAUGCUGCACCGCAUUGUUCAACAGUGAAAGACGGUGGUUGUGGCUCGUCUAGAUGCAUCCGCGCCGCAUUAGCUAGUUGGUAAGGUAACGGCUUACCAAGGCGACGAUGCGUAGCCGACCGGAGAGGGUGAUAGGCGACCUUAGAGGUGGGACACGGACCAGGCUACUAAGGGAGGCAGCAGUAGGGAAUGUGACGCAAUGGGCGAAAGCCUGACGGAGCAACGCCGCGUGAGAGAAGAAGGUCUCCGGAGCGUAAUACCCUGUUAUUAGGGGAGAACAGAUGUGUACGUAAAUAUGGACGUAGUGACGGUACCUAGUCAGAAAGCAACGGCUAACUACGUG